rnacentral:rRNA from 1 species
GACGAACGCUGGCGGCGUGCUUAACACAUGCAAGUCGAACGGAAAGGCCCUGCUUUUGUGGGGUGCUCGAGUGGCGAACGGGUGAGUAACACGUGAGUAACCUGCCCUUGACUUUGGGAUAACUUCAGGAAACUGGGGCUAAUACCGGAUAGGAGCUCCUGCUGCAUGGUGGGGGUUGGAAAGUUUCGGCGGUUGGGGAUGGACUCGCGGCUUAUCAGCUUGUUGGUGGGGUAGUGGCUUACCAAGGCUUUGACGGGUAGCCGGCCUGAGAGGGUGACCGGCCACAUUGGGACUGAGAUACGGCCCAGACUCCUACGGGAGGCAGCAGUGGGGAAUAUUGCACAAUGGGCGGAAGCCUGAUGCAGCAACGCCGCGUGCGGGAUGACGGCCUUCGGGUUGUAAACCGCUUUCGCCUGUGACGAAGCGUGAGUGACNGGUAAUGGGUAAAGAAGCACCGGCUAACUACGUGCCAGCAGCCGCGGUGAUACGUAGGGUGCGAGCGUUGUCCGGAUUUAUUGGGCGUAAAGGGCUCGUAGGUGGUUGAUCGCGUCGGAAGUGUAAUCUUGGGGCUUAACCCUGAGCGUGCUUUCGAUACGGGUUGACUUGAGGAAGGUAGGGGAGAAUGGAAUUCCUGGUGGAGCGGUGGAAUGCGCAGAUAUCAGGAGGAACACCAGUGGCGAAGGCGGUUCUCUGGGCCUUUCCUGACGCUGAGGAGCGAAAGCGUGGGGAGCGAACAGGCUUAGAUACCCUGGUAGUCCACGCUGUAAACGGUGGGUACUAGGUGUGGGGUCCAUUCCACGGGUUCCGUGCCGUAGCUAACGCUUUAAGUACCCCGCCUGGGGAGUACGGCCGCAAGGCUAAAACUCAAAGGAAUUGACGGGGCCCCGCACAAGCGGCGGAGCAUGCGGAUUAAUUCGAUGCAACGCGUAGAACCUUACCUGGGUUUGACAUGGAUCGGAAGCGCUCAGAGAUGGGUGUGCCUCUUUUGGGGUCGGUUCACAGGUGGUGCAUGGCUGUCGUCAGCUCGUGUCGUGAGAUGUUGGGUUAAGUCCCGCAACGAGCGCAACCCUUGUUCACUGUUGCCAGCACGUUAUGGUGGGGACUCAGUGGAGACCGCCGGGGUCAACUCGGAGGAAGGUGGGGAUGACGUCAAGUCAUCAUGCCCCUUAUGUCCAGGGCUUCACGCAUGCUACAAUGGCUGGUACAGAGAGUGGCGAGCCUGUGAGGGUGAGCGAAUCUCGGAAAGCCGGUCUCAGUUCGGAUUGGGGUCUGCAACUCGACCUCAUGAAGUCGGAGUCGCUAGUAAUCGCAGAUCAGCAACGCUGCGGUGAAUACGUUCCCGGGGCUUGUACACACCGCCCGUCAAGUCAUGAAAGUUGGUAACACCCGAAGCCGGUGGCCUAACCGUUGUGGGGGAGCCGUCGAAGGUGGGACUGGUGAUUAGGACUAAGUCGUAACAAGGUAGCCGUACCGGAAGG